AUUGAACGCUGGCGGCAGGCCUAACACAUGCAAGUCGAGCGAGCGGCGGACGGGUGAGUAAUGUAUGGGGACUGCCCGAUAGAGGGGGAUAACUACUGGAAACGGUGGCUAAUACCGCAUACUAUUGGAUAACCCAUAUGGGAUUAGCUAGUAGGUGGGGUAAAGGCUCACCUAGGCGACGAUCUCUAGCUGGUCUGAGAGGAUGAUCAGCCACACUGGGACUGAGACACGGCCCAGACUCCUACGGAGGCAGCAGUGGGGAAUUUUGCACAAUGGGCGCAAGCCUGAUCCAGCCAUGCCGCGUGUAUGAAGAAGGCCUUCGGGUUGUAAAGUACUUUCGUCGGGGAAGCGUUACCCGAAGAAUAAGCACCGGCUAACUACGUGCCAGCAGCCGCGGUAAUUC
rnacentral:rRNA from 1 species